AUCCAAAUAAUAACCUAAGCUUCGGCUGCAUGAUCCAAUUAAUAACCUAAGCUUCAUAUAUAUUUUAGCAUUGUAUCUGAGACUCUGAGUCUUUAGUCUACUCGUGAAUGUUAAGAGAUUAAUUUUGCUUUUGUUGAUUGCUCUAGAAAUUAGUGAGAUAACACUGCUUUAUUUAUUUAUUUAGGGUUAUUUUGUGCUGUGGAUUACUUGUUCUGGAUAUAUAAUAUUGGCUUCUGUUUCUAUUAGGUAUCAAG
rnacentral:misc_RNA from 1 species